UGCAAGUUCGAGGGGCAGCACGAUCUUCGGAUUGGUGGCGACCGGCGCACGGGUGCGUAACGCGUAUAGGAACCUACCUUUUACAGAGGGAUAGCCCAGAGAAAUUUGGAUUAAUACCUCAUAGUAUUAUAGAUUGGCAUCGAUUUAUAAUUAAACAUUUAUGGGUAAGAGAUGGCUAUGCGUCCUAUUAGUUAGUUGGUAAGGUAACGGCUUACCAAGACAACGAUAGGUAGGGGUCCUGAGAGGGAGACCCCCCACACUGGUACUGAGACACGGACCAGACUCC
rnacentral:rRNA from 1 species